rnacentral:tRNA from 1 species
GGGGCCGUAGCUCAGUUGGGAGAGCGCGUCGUUCGCAAUGACGAGGUCAGGGGUUCG